rnacentral:rRNA from 1 species
CAGGUAACAUUAAAUCGUACCCCAAACCGACACAGGUGGUCAGGUAGAGAAUACCAAGGCGCUUGAGAGAACUCGGGUGAAGGAACUAGGCAAAAUGGUGCCGUAACUUCGGGAGAAGGCACGCUGGCAUGUAGGUGAAGUCCCUUGCGGAUGGAGCUGAAGCCAGUCGAAGAUACCAGCUGGCUGCAACUGUUUAAUAAAAACACAGCACUGUGCAAACACGAAAGUGGACGUAUACGGUGUGACGCCUGCCCGGUGCUGGAAGGUUAAUUGAUGGGGUCAGCCGCAAGGCGAAGCUCUUGAUCGAAGCCCCAGUAAACGGCGGCCGUAACUAUAACGGUCCUAAGGUAGCGAAAUUCCUUGUCGGGUAAGUUCCGACCUGCACGAAUGGCGUAAUGAUGGCCAGGCUGUCUCCACCCGAGACUCAGUGAAAUUGAACUCGCUGUGAAGAUGCAGUGUACCCGCGGCAAGACGGAAAGACCCCGUGAACCUUUACUAUAGCUUGACACUGAACAUUGAGCCUUGAUGUGUAGGAUAGGUGGGAGGCUUUGAAGCGUGGACGCCAGUCUGCGUGGAGCCAUCCUUGAAAUACCACCCUUUAAUGUUUGAUGUUCUAACUCUGCCCCGUGAUCCGGGGUGAGGACAGUGUCUGGUGGGUAGUUUGACUGGGGCGGUCUCCUCCCAAAGAGUAACGGAGGAGCACGAAGGUUAGCUAAUCACGGUCGGACAUCGUGAGGUUAGUGCAAAGGCAUAAGCUAGCUUGACUGCGAGAGUGACGGCUCGAGCAGGUACGAAAGUAGGUCUUAGUGAUCCGGUGGUUCUGAAUGGAAGGGCCAUCGCUCAACGGAUAAAAGGUACUCCGGGGAUAACAGGCUGAUACCGCCCAAGAGUUCAUAUCGACGGCGGUGUUUGGCACCUCGAUGUCGGCUCAUCACAUCCUGGGGCUGAAGUAGGUCCCAAGGGUAUGGCUGUUCGCCAUUUAAAGUGGUACGCGAGCUGGGUUUAGAACGUCGUGAGACAGUUCGGUCCCUAUCUGCCGUGGGCGUUGGAAGAUUGAGAGGGGUUGCUCCUAGUACGAGAGGACCGGAGUGAACGCACCACUGGUGUUCGGGUUGUCAUGCCAAUGGCAUUGCCCGGUAGCUAAGUGCGGAAAAGAUAAGCGCUGAAAGCAUCUAAGCGCGAAACUUGCCUCAAGAUGAGUCUUCCCUGGGCCUUUAAGGCCCCUGAAGGAACGUUUAAGACUAAGACGUUGAUAGGCUGGGUGUGUAAGUGCAGCGAUGCAUUGAGCUAACCAGUACUAAUGAUCCGUGAGGCUUAACCUU